ACUCCUACGGGAGGCAGCAGUGGGGAAUCUUGCGCAAUGGGCGAAAGCCUGACGCAGCAACGCCGCGUGGGGGAUGAAGGCUCUCGGGUUGUAAACCCCUUUCAGCAGGGACGAAUUUUGACGGUACCUGCAGAAGAAGCCCCGGCUAACUACGUGCCAGCAGCCGCGGUAACACGUAGGGGCAAGCGUUGUCCGGAUUUAUUGGGCGUAAAGAGCUCGUAGGUGGCUGAGUAAGUCGGAUGUUAAAUCCCCAGGCUCAACCUGGGACACCACCCGAUACUGCUCUGGCUAGAGUCCGGUAGGGGAGCGUGGAAUUCCUGGUGUAGCGGUGAAAUGCGCAGAUAUCAGGAGGAACACCAGCGGCGAAGGCGGCGCUCUGGGCCGGCACUGACACUGAGGAGCGAAAGCAUGGGUAGCAAACAGGAUUAGAUACCCUGGUAGCUACGAG
rnacentral:rRNA from 1 species